rnacentral:rRNA from 1 species
UACGUAGGGCGCAAGCGUUGUCCGGAAUUAUUGGGCGUAAAGAGCUCGUAGGCGGUUCGUCGCGUCGGCUGUGAAAACCCGAGGCUCAACCUCGGGCCUGCAGCCGAUACGGGCAGACUAGAGUUCGGCAGGGGAGACUGGAAUUCCUGGUGUAGCGGUGAAAUGCGCAGAUAUCUGGAGGAACACCGGUGGCGAAGGCGACAUCCUGGACCGGUAUUGACGCUGAGGCGCGAAAGCGUGGGGAGCGAACGAGGA